rnacentral:rRNA from 1 species
GAUGAACGCUGGCGGCGUGCCUAAUACAUGCAAGUCGAGCGAACGGACGAGAAGCUUGCUUCUCUGAUGUUAGCGGCGGACGGGUGAGUAACACGUGGAUAACCUACCUAUAAGACUGGGAUAACUUCGGGAAACCGGAGCUAAUACCGGAUAAUAUUUUGAACCGCAUGGUUCAAAAGUGAAAGACGGUCUUGCUGUCACUUAUAGAUGGAUCCGCGCUGCAUUAGCUAGUUGGUAAGGUAACGGCUUACCAAGGCAACGAUUCAUAGCCGACCUGAGAGGGGGAUAGGCCACACUUGGAUUGAGAGACGGUCCAGGCUCCUACGGGAGGCAGCAGUAGGGAAUCUUCCGCAAUGGGCGAAAGCCUGACGGAGCAACGCCGCGUGAGUGAUGAAGGUCUUCGGAUCGUAAAACUCUGUUAUUAGGGAAGAACAUAUGUGUAAGUAACUGUGCACAUCUUGACGGUACCUAAUCAGAAAGCCACGGCUAACUACGUG